rnacentral:sRNA from 1 species
AAUCCGGCUGACAUAGUUGCUGAUCCUGGGCUUAGAAAACCAAUUGAGCAAUUUCAUAUAGACAUUAGAGAUGCUGUUAGAAGGGAAUACUUGUCAAGAGGUCCAUGCCAACCAAUUGGUCAUAAAUAUCCACAGAAGUUAAUGGGAAAUCGACAAAGAAGCUUUCAUGACUCGUGGUUCAAAAUGCAUAAUUGGUUGGAGUAUAGUAUUGCCAAAGAUGCAGCAUUCUGUUUUUAUUGUUAUCUUUUCAAGCAACCAAGACCUGAUAAUUUUGGUGUUGAUGCUUUCACAAGUAAGGGCUUUACUAAUUGGAAACAUGCA